GACGAACGCUGGCGGCGUGCUUAACACAUGCAAGUCGAACGCGCCUGUCCUCUGGGUUUCUGGGGGGUGGGUGAGUGGCGAACGGGUGAGUAACACGUGAGUAACCUGCCCCCUUCUUCGGGAUAACGGUCUGAAAGGGCUGCUAAUACCGGGUAUUCACUGGUCUCCGCAUGGGGUCUGGUGGAAAGGUUUUUUUCUGGUGGGGGAUGGGCUCGCGGCCUAUCAGCUUGUUGGUGGGGUGAUGGCCCACCAAGGCUUUGACGGGUAGCCGGCCUGAGAGGGUGACCGGUGACAUUGGGACUGAGAUACGGCCCAGACUCCUACGGGAGGCAGCAGUGGGGAAUAAUGCACAAUGGGCGCAAGCCUGAUGCAGCGACGCCGCGUGAGGGAUGGAGGCCUUCGGGUUGUGAACCUCUUUCGCCCGUGGUCAAGCCGCGACGUGGGUCGUGGUGAGGGUAGUGGGUAAAGAAGCGCCGGCUAACUACGUG
rnacentral:rRNA from 1 species